UUUCGUGAUUUCAUCUUUUCGUGAGUGAUUUCAUCUAGUCGAAGACACGAGUGAACCUCUCUUUACAACAUCAGGCGGAAAAGUAUUUUCAAAAUUGCAGAAUACGUCGAUGUAACAACAUAUGGCUAGAUGUAGCCUAAAAACGGUGCAAUUAGAGCAUUGACUAUAGGAACUAGUGCAUCGUGACAACUGUUAGUGGAGCGAAGCCAAGACCGGACUAACUGUUUAUUAGACGAUGGAAUAUUGCAGUUAGAUGCCUCCUCAACCCAACGAUGAUUUUUAUUUGUCUUAAUUCGAGGAAAAACACGUUGGAGACGUUCAGGUUUAAGCAACCGAGGUUCAAGGCCCUGUCUAUUUACAGUUAAGUCUCUGUCUAACAGUAUUAAAUGGUUGCAAUGAAAAAAUUUGGUAGGAAAAUUCAAACUGAACUAUGAGCCUAUAACAAUGCCAGCAGUAUUUCGUCGCUGACAGCACAAGACCAUCCUACAUUACCGAGUUAGCACAGCUGUAACGUCCAUGAGAAGUAUUGGCAAUUCUAAACACUAUUGUCUUUCUUAAUCAUUCACUCAUCACAAGUGUUUGAAGGAGUGCUUUACUGUGAUUUAGUAAGGCAACGAGUUCAGAUCAUGGAGGUGACUGUAUUCCAAAAAAAUGAUUUGGUGACUUCACGUCCCCUCAAGGACUCUACUUCUAUUACAUCAGGUCCCCUUUCCAUCAUCUUUAAUGCCUCAAUUAUUCAGGAUUUCUAUCCGAACUGCUGGAAGAAGGGUCGAGUAACAUCUGCUUUUAAGAAGUGGUAUCUUAGCUGACAGCCUAAUUGCAUACUGUAAAUACUUAAGCUGUCAGACAGAACUACUCGAACAUGGAUAUUAUGGUUGCAGUAACAUCAAGAAUUACGAAGGCUUCCAACGUCUGUGGAAGGGAAACAUUCCAGUGAAAGUAGUCGAAAGAUUCAAACAUACUCUCAGUAACUCAAAGCAAGGCUUUACAAGACUUUCUUGACUUUCUUUAUGUCAACCCCCAAAAUUGCAGUAAAUGUUGCAUUUCUUUAGUGUGAAAAAUUGUGUUAAACUGGAAACUCCGAAUAAAAAUAUAUUUCGAAUUAUUACUAAUUGUAAAACUAAAAAAUACAAAACUCUUCUUGAUAAUCUGGGACUUGUCAACUCCCAAGAGAGAGAGAGAAGACUACUUAACAUGGAGGCUAGGACACACAAGUUCUUCAAGGGGACAGACAUAUAUAGUAACAUAGCUCUAAUCAAGAACUUAACAUUUUAUUGUGACUUUGAUGGACUCGGAGGUCAAAACAAAUUUCAGUUACCACGUAAAUAUACUUCUUCCAAACGGAGGCAUUCUUUUAAAUUUUAUGCACCAAGAUUGUGGAACAUAUUGAAUGACCUACUAUAGAUGUGAUACCAGUAUUAUAAACCGUCUUGACAAUGUAAAUCAGAUAAUAAACGUGUUUUUGUUACUUA